GUAGGGAAUAUUGGACAAUGGGGGCAACCCUGAUCCAGCGACGCCGCGUGAGUGACGAAGGCCUUCGGGUCGUAAAGCUCUGUUGCAAGGGAAAAACAAAAUGAUGGUACCUUGCUAGAAAGGAUCGGCUAACUUCGUGCCAGCAGCCGCGGUAAGACGAGGGAUCCUAGCGUUGUUCGGAAUUAUUGGGCGUAAAGCGGGUGUAGGUGGCUUUGUAAGUCAGGUGUGAAAGCCUGGGGCUUAACCCCAGAAGUGCAUUUGAUACUGCGAAGCUUGAGUGCUGGAGAGGCUAUUAGGAUUCCUGGUGUAGUGGUGAAAUACGUAGAUAUCAGGAGGAAUACCGGAGGCGAAGGCGGAUAGCUGGCCAGACACUGACACUCAGACCCGAAAGCGUGGGGAUCAAACAGGAUUAGAUACCCCGGUAGUCC
rnacentral:rRNA from 1 species